UGUUUUUUUUUUUUUUUUAAAGAGAGAGUGAGAGACAGAGAGUAAAGAGAGAAUUUUUUAAUAUUUAUUUUUUAGUUAUCGGCGGGCACAACACCUUUGCUUGUAUGUGGUGCUGAGGAUCGAACCCGGGCCGCACGCAUGCCAGGCGAGCGCGCUACCGCUUGAGCCACAUCCCCAGCCCAUCAUAGUGUUUUAACCAUC
rnacentral:lncRNA from 1 species